rnacentral:rRNA from 1 species
GAUUGUUUGAUCCUGGCUCAAGAAUUGAACGCUGGCGGCAUGCCUUACCACAUGCAAGUUCGAACGGCAGCAACGGGAGCAAUCCUGGUGGCGGAGUGGCGAACCGGGUGAGUAAUACAUCGGAAACGUGUCCUGGAGUGGGGGGAUAGCCCCGGCGAAAGCCGGAAUUAAUACCGCAUACGCUCUGUGGAGGAAAGGGGGGGGAUCUUCGGACCUCUCGCUCAAGGGGCGGCCGAUGGCAGAUUAGCUAGUUGGUGGGGUAAAGGCCUACCAAGGCGACGAUCUGUAGCUGGUCUGAGAGGACGACCAGCCACACUGGGACUGAGACACGGCCCAGACUCCUACGGGAGGCAGCAGUGGGGAAUUUUGGACAAUGGGCGCAAGCCUGAUCCAGCAAUGCCGCGUGUGUGAAGAAGGCCUUCGGGUUGUAAAGCACUUUUGUCCGGAAAGAAAACCUCGUGGUUAAUACCCGUGGGGGAUGACGGUACCGGAAGAAUAAGCACCGGCUAACUACGUGCCAGCAGCCGCGGUAAUACGUAGGGUGCAAGCGUUAAUCGGAAUUACUGGGCGUAAAGCGUGCGCAGGCGGUUCGCUAAGACAGAUGUGAAAUCCCCGGGCUUAACCUGGGAACUGCAUUUGUGACUGGCGGGCUAGAGUAUGGCAGAGGGGGGUAGAAUUCCACGUGUAGCAGUGAAAUGCGUAGAGAUGUGGAGGAAUACCGAUGGCGAAGGCAGCCCCCUGGGCCAAUACUGACGCUCAUGCACGAAAGCGUGGGGUGCAAACAGGAUUAGAUACCCUGGUAGUCCACGCCCCAAACGAUGUCAACUGGUUGUCGGGCCUUCAUUGGCUUGGUAACGUAGCUAACGCGUGAAGUGACCGCC